CCGGUUGUGAUGAGGAAGUGGUAACACAAAUUCUAAAUGGCCUUGAUUAUGAUUAUAAUCCUUUUGUGUCUUCAGUUCUUGGACAGACUGAUCAGAUCUCUCUAGAUGAUCUGUAUUCUGAUCUGUUGGCAUAUGAUG